rnacentral:rRNA from 1 species
AGUGAACGCUGGCGGCGUGCCUAAUACAUGCAAGUCGAACGAGUGGCGCACGGGCGAGUAAUUUAUAGCUAAUCUGCCCUACACUAGAGGACAACCGUUGGAAACGGCUGCCAAUACUCUCUAGGGUAGGUUGAGGUUAUAUUGUAUCAGCUAGUUGGGUAGGUAAUGGCUCACCAAGGCUAUGGCGCAUAACUGGUCUGAGAGGAUGAUCAGUCACACUGGAACGGAGACACGGUCCAGACUCCUACGGGAGGCAGCAGUAGGGAAGAUUGCACAAUGGGGGAAACCCUGAAGCAGCAACGCCGGGUGGAGGAUGACACUUGUCGGAGCGUAAACUCCUUGUGUUAGGGAAGCGGUACCUAACGAAUAAGCACCGGCUAACUCCGUGCCAGCAGCCGCGGUAAUAC